rfam:Camelus ferus unplaced genomic scaffold scaffold1144, whole genome shotgun sequence.
GAGGGUGUAGCUCAAGCAGUAGAGUGCAUGCUUAGCAUGCCUGAGGUUCUGGGUUCAAUCCCCAGCACCUCCU